GACGAACGCUGGCGGCGUGCUUAACACAUGCAAGUCGAACGGAAAGGCCCCCUCGGGGGUACUCGAGUGGCGAACGGGUGAGUAACACGUGAGUAACCUGCCCUUGACUUCGGGAUAACUUCAGGAAACUGGGGCUAAUACCGGAUAGGAAUCCUUGCUGCAUGGUGGGGGUUGGAAAGCUUCGGCGGUUUUGGAUGGACUCGCGGCUUAUCAGCUUGUUGGUGGGGUAGUGGCUUACCAAGGCUUUGACGGGUAGCCGGCCUGAGAGGGCGACCGGCCACAUUGGGACUGAGAUACGGCCCAGACUCCUACGGGAGGCAGCAGUGGGGAAUAUUGCACAAUGGGCGGAAGCCUGAUGCAGCAACGCCGCGUGCGGGAUGACGGCCUUCGGGUUGUAAACCGCUUUCAGCAGGGGCGAAGCUUGUGGUGACGGUACCUGCAGAAGAAGCACCGGCUAACUACGUG
rnacentral:rRNA from 1 species